rnacentral:rRNA from 1 species
UACGUAGGGGGCUAGCGUUGUCCGGAAUCAUUGGGCGUAAAGCGCGCGUAGGCGGCCUCAUAAGUCCGCUGUAAAAGUCAAAGGCUCAACCUUUGAAUGCCGGUGGAUACUGUGAGGCUAGAGUCCGGAAGAGGCGAGUGGAAUUCCCGGUGUAGCGGUGAAAUGCGUAGAUAUCGGGAGGAACAUCAGUGGCGAAGGCGGCUACCUGGCCCAAUACUGACACUCAGGUGCGACAGCGUGGGGAGCAAACAGG